rnacentral:rRNA from 1 species
CCUACGGGUGGCAGCAGUGAGGAAUAUUGGUCAAUAGACGAGAGUCUGAACCAGCCAAGUAGCGUGAAGGAUGACUGCCCUAUGGGUUGUAAACUUCUUUUAUAUGGGAAUAAAAUGUUCCACGUGUGGGAUUUUGUAUGUACAAUAUGAAUAAGGAUCGACUAACUCCGUGCCAGCAGCCGCGGUAAUACGGAGGAUCCGAGCGUUAUCCGGAUUUAUUGGGUUUAAAGGGAGCGUAGGUGGAUUGUUAAGUCAGUUGUGAAAGUUUGCGGCUCAACCGUAAAAUUGCAGUUGAAACUGGCAGUCUUGAGUACAGUAGAGGUGGGCGGAAUUCGUGGUGUAGCGGUGAAAUGCUUAGAUAUCACGAAGAACUCCGAUUGCGAAGGCAGUUCACUGGACUGCAACUGACACUGAGGCUCGAAAGUGUGGGUAUCAAACAGGAUUAGAUACCCGGGUAGUC